CUAUCCAUGUACCUAUGCAUGUAACCAUCAAUGUAAUUAUCCAUAUAACUAUGCAUGUAACUAUUGAUGUAACUACAGAUUGAUAGUUGUCUGGGUAGUUACAUGCAUGCUACACUUGUGUACUUGCCUAUGUAACGAUCCAUCUAUGUAACUAUCCAUCUAUGUAACUAUGCAUGUAACUACAGAUUGCUAGUUACCUGGGUAGUUACAUUGCUAGUUACAUGGAUUUUAAUAGAUUUCUUGUUCUAAUACGCAGCGGGACGUUGCCAUUGCGGUGCAGCGGGACGCUGCCGUUGUGGUGCAGCGGCACGCUGCAAUUAUAUUAUGUAAAUGACUUGUGUACCUACAUUAAGCUACUUAUCUAACUAUCAAUGUAACUAUUCAUGUAUCUAUCUAUGUAACUAUGCAUGUAACUAUCCAUCUAUGUAACUAUCGAUGUAACUAUCCAUGUAACUACCGACUGAUAGUUACAUGUGUAGCUUCAUACAUUCUACAUAACAAGCUACACUUCUUUCUUUUUUCUCACACAGAACGCAGAAUAUGGACAAAGUAAAGCAAUCUGUAUUAAUUGUAAAUCAUACAAAUUAAGAAUACCUAAGGAAACUAAUUUAGUGCUAACACAACUCUUAGAACUCUGGCUUUCCUCAUUCAUUCGUUUAAUCCAAAUCAUUACAAAUAGAGUAGGAAGGAAAGGAACCAUUAUUGUCACCAUGCUUUAGUGCACUUAACAUUGUAUUUCAGUAUGACUUUAUCACUACCUUUCCUCAAUGCAAUCUGCAUAAGUAUAAAACAUUAUGAAGUUGUUUGGGUGUUGAAAAUGAAGAACCCAAAACAGAAACAUCAAGCUUAAUAAAUAGAGAUAUGUUUCACACAAAUAAUCUUUCAUUUAGCUGUUCAACAAAACCCCCAACUCUCUGCAUCUCUUUAAACACUUUAAGUCCUUAAACACUUGCUUGGUAGACUUUUCUCCUUCAUUUUCCAGUUUUCUGCAGAAUGACCUUCCCUCCUUCCGACGGCUAUACUUUCUCUACAAAAUAGCUAUCAAUGAUCCGC
rnacentral:lncRNA from 1 species